rnacentral:sRNA from 1 species
UCGGCGCACUCUUCGGGGAGUAGCCGCUCCAGACGCGAUGUCUGGAGGCACACGUCAACAUACUUGUCCACCUUCUGGCGACAUGGCGUGUGCAGCAUAAGCCUGGCAAGACCGAUGACGCCCAUUCCUACCUAACCGGGUCGCGGGAAUGCGUGUCAUCGUGUUCUGACUGCGCGGC